rnacentral:tRNA from 1 species
UUCGGCCAUCGUGUAGUUGGAGAUGCUCGCCGGCUGCCACUCGGCCGGCGGGUAGUCGACGAAACCGGUCUGCGCUCCGGCACGCGGGUCGGGG